GGUUGGGGGGUUGUGAUUGGCUGAUUGUCCCAAGAUAGGCGGGCAGGGGAGCUCCCAGCUUGGCCCAGGGGUCUGGGAGCCCAGGUCCUGCGGGAUCCGGAGGCCUCGAGCACAUCUCUGCCUGCUCCUGUUUGCCCGAAGCCAGCUGUGAGUUGGGUACCGUGCAGGGGGUCCCAUGGUCGCGUGUGGCCUGAGCCGGGCCUGGAGGGUGCUGAUGGGAGCUGCGGCCCUGCUCCCCUUGGUGGGGUCCACGCCGGGGAUCAGCUCUAAGGCAGGAAGCGGCUGGGCUGACUGCUGUGUCCGGGACCCGCGGGCUGCGGCGCAGGCCAGGGGCAUCUCCGGGAACCAGGAACGAGCCCCCCAUGUGACAUCUGUUACGAUCGUGACCGUCGGGACCAGUGGGGGCCCCUGCUCCUGUCGCUGGCAGCAGUGCGCGGCUGGAAAAGCAGACAGCGCGUUCUCAGGGACAUGCGAGCUGAGGGGCUGCAUGGUCUCUUGAUGCCAGCCAUCCUGACAUUCCCGAGCCACAUGCCUGGGGUACCAGCUGGACGCUCUUUCACUUGAUAGGAUGCUGGAAAAGAUACAGGUGUGAUGAAAGGUUAAAUUAAAAAUUGAAAAAACUGAUGGUAGUAAACCGUCCAUUGCCAUUAAUCUCCCUCCAAGUCCUCCCCGUCACUUUGAACACACUCACGCCAUCACCCCGGCCACUUUCUGCAGCAGCUCUG
rnacentral:lncRNA from 1 species